rnacentral:RNase_P_RNA from 1 species
GGCUGUUCUAUCGCUGUUCCGCAAGGAAAAGAGGAAAGUCCGGGCAACAUAGGGCAUCGUGCUUCCUAACGGGAAGGCAUCCGCGAGGGUGCAGGAAAUGUAACAGAGAACAACCGCCCCGUUCAUGCGGGGCAAGGGUGAAAAGGCGGGGUAAGAGCCCACCGGGACUGCAGGUGACUGUGGUUGCCGUACAUCUCACGAGUUGCAAGGCCAUGUAUAUCGGCGAUGUUGGUUUGCCCGACCAAUGCCGAGGGGUAGGCCGCUAGAGUUGUAAAGUGAUUUGCAGCGUAGAUAAAUGAUAGAAACCGCAAGGUACAGAACCCGGCUUACAAGUCUGCUAU